GGAUAUCCAAAAAUAAUUCAAAAUUUUAAAAUAUUAUUCUUUCUAAUAUCAAUAAAUUUUUUGUAUCAAACCAUAUCAUCUAUCAUAAUUCUUUAACUCAAAGGGUCAACAUUCCUGACUUACUCAAAGUAAUCCAGAUUACCAUGCUUCCACUGCGCACUCUGAUCUAACAAUCAAAAUUUCUUAGGUUCACCAAAAAAAAAUUGAUCAAAUUAUUUUUUUAUCCUAAAAUUUCAAAUUUUAAUUGAAAUCAAAGAUUAACUUUCGAUUCUCAUUCAUACCUUUACUGGUGUACAAUAAUCUUGAUUAACCCUUGAGUCCAAUAUCAUAUUUAAACCAUCAUAUAGAUUUACUAUAAUCAAUAUGAAUCAAAUCUCAAUUCUCAUAUCAAUUCAAUUCGAUAAAUUUUCAAACCAAAAAUCCUUAUAAGUCAAAUUAAUGAAGAAAAAAAAAAUUCUUCGAUGCUCCACCAAAUUUGGACAUAAUCUUAAUAUAUAAGAACUUCAAAUCAUUAUUUUUUUUAAAAUUUCCAUCAUCAGGAUCUUCAAUAUCUAUCAAAUAUCCUUUCAUAACAAUCAUAUAAGCUUCAAAAAAAUCAAAUCUUCAUUUAAU
rnacentral:lncRNA from 1 species